rnacentral:tRNA from 1 species
GGGGUGGUGGCGCAGUUGGCUAGCACGUAGGUCCCAUAACUAAUCUAAUUGCGAGUGAUCGAUCCUCACUGAGGUCGAGAGUUCGAGCCUCUCUCACCCCA